rnacentral:rRNA from 1 species
AUGAGGCAACUGCAUCAAGCGCAUACUUUACCCUGGCUCCUGGUGGGUGAUCUCAAUGAGAUCGUGUAUUUGCAUGAGAAGGAGGGUGGCAAUCCACGACCACCCCAAUAUAUGCAAGCGUUCCAGGAUAUUGUAGAAGAAUGUGCCUUGCACGACCUUGGCUACAUUGGUGACCAAUACACUUGGCGUCGAGGAAGAAUAUGGGAAAGACUCGAUAGAGGGCUUGUAAAUGAUUUGUGGACCUCCCAAUUCCCUCAGGCGGCAUUGCGGAAUUUAGAGUUUAAUCAUUCGGAUAAUAGACCUCUUCUGGUGGACACUGGCUUCUAUGUACAGCCACCAAGCGGUUCGAAUACACAUGUCAAAAGAUUUGAAGCUAGAUGGCUGAGAGAGAAGUUAUUCAAUGAGAAAGUGAUGGAAGCAUGGACGGAGGCUGCAGACGACCCAAACAUAACAAGCAUACAUGAGAAACUCAAUAAAAUGCAUGCUAGCUUCCAUGAUUGGGAUUAG